rnacentral:rRNA from 1 species
ACUCAAAUGAAUUGACGGGGGCCCGCACAAGCGGUGGAGUAUGUGGUUUAAUUCGACGCAACGCGAAGAACCUUACCAGGGCUUGACAUUGAGUGAAAGACUAAGAGAUUAGUUCCUAUCUUCGGAUACACGAAAACAGGUGGUGCAUGGCUGUCGUCAGCUCGUGUCGUGAGAUGUUGGGUUAAGUCCCGCAACGAGCGCAACCCUUAUCCUUUGUUGCCAGCACGUAAAGGUGGGAACUCAAGGGAGACUGCCGCAGAUAAUGCGGAGGAAGGCGGGGAUGACGUCAAGUCAUCAUGCCCCUUAUGUCCUGGGCUACACACGUACUACAAUGGGCUUAAACAAAGCGAAGCAAGCCUGCGAAGGUAAGCCAAACGCAUAAAUAAGCUCUCAGUUCGGAUCGGAGGCUGCAACUCGCCUCCGUGAAGUCGGAAUCGCUAGUAAUCGCAGGUCAGCAUACUGCGGUGAAUACGUUCCCGGGCCUUGUACACACCGCCCGU